CCAGACUCCUACGGGAGGCAGCAGUGGGGAAUAUUGCACAAUGGGGGAAACCCUGAUGCAGCGACGCCGCGUGAGUGAAGAAGUAUUUCGGUAUGUAAAGCUCUAUCAGCAGGGAAGAAAAUGACGGUACCUGACUAAGAAGCCCCGGCUAACUACGUGCCAGCAGCCGCGGUAAUACGUAGGGGGCAAGCGUUAUCCGGAUUUACUGGGUGUAAAGGGAGCGCAGACGGCUGUGCAAGUCUGGAGUGAAAGGCGGGGGCCCAACCCCCGGACUGCUCUGGAAACUGUAAAGCUGGAGUGCAGGAGAGGUAAGCGGAAUUCCUAGUGUAGCGGUGAAAUGCGUAGAUAUCAGGAGGAACACCAGUGGCGAAGGCGGCUUACUGGACUGUAACUGACGUUGAGGCUCGAAAGCGUGGGGAGCAAACAGGAUUAGAUACCCUUGUAGG
rnacentral:rRNA from 1 species